AGAAAACCAGUAAAGUGAAGAACACUUCAUUUCCGUGAAUACUCUUAGGUCCCCUCCCCCCUAUAACAAAGUUUGGAAGGACAUCUUUUCUACCCCUUUUCUUAUCAUUUGUUCCCAAAAUGAACUUUAGAGGACAUGUUGUUUUUGGUCCAUUUGUUAUUAUUCUUUCUUCCCCUCAAUCUGCAGUAGCCCAUUUUCAGAGAUGACAAGGCAGAAUGUAAAGAAAUUCCAUGUGAACAUCAUUGAACCAGCUGAUUGGUUGAAAUAAAGAUGUCUGAUUUUCUUCAAAUUUGGUAUAUAGAUGAAUUAUUUCAAAUUAUGCAAAGACUAUCAUUACUUCAAUUUUAAUGAUAUGACAAGAUGACCAGUUUCCUGGCUUUCUGAUUGGUUGGAAUUCAGCUAAGUCCAAUAUUGACGGAUCAUACAUCUGUAAUGGUCCCCAUCACAACAAGGACUUUUUUUGGCAGUUGAUUCAAACAACUCAAUGUCAAGGAUUUGAACUUGUGAGGGAAACAAAAGAAAACAAGUCCUUGUUUCAUGAACCUAGCUGUCAAGGAUUUGCAUCGCCAGCUCGUGCAAUAAAUAGAAAUCUCUAAAAGUAUGAGUGAUUUGCAUGACUCUGAUUUACAGAAAGGACAACACCAGAAGACGUUUAUAAACCCAGUUUAAUACAAAAAUAUGCAGUGUUUCAACAGGGAACAAAAUAAAAAAUAAGUCUUCCCUUAUGUGACAAAUACAAUCAGAAACUUAGAAAUGAGUGUAACCUUUUACCUCUAUUCUCUUUUCUAACUAACAGGAGAAUAACAUCUUGCGAUUAUAUAGCAGAACCAGAGAUGUACCGACUAGUCAUGAACUGUCACCAUUUGUAACGUUUUCAUGUUUGAUAAGGAAGACGGAGCAGCAACAUCUAGAUUACGUUCUUUGUUAAUGGUUAAUCUUUUCAAUGGCUAAGCCAGUUAUCAUCAGAGCCACAUAACCAGCUGAAACCUUUAAACUGUAAGUAAUCUAUGGAGUCUAGAUGUUGUUACCCCAUCCUUCUUAUUAUCUGUGUUUACUUUCCAUUUGGUAUCCAUCGUAGGUUCCUACUACCAUCUACUGACGACCUAAGACAUAUUUUCCGCAGCGCUGGUUCUCUUCUCCACUUGUGUACACAUUUUUUUUUAUGUUUAUAGCAUUUUACCUUUUUUGUCCCAAGCAAUUAUCAAAAGGUUAAAAAGGAAUUUACUUCUGAUCUCGUUAUAUCAAUGAAAAAUUCACAAAAAGAGGUUUUGAUUACAGGAACACUUACGUGAAGUAUGUACCGGUGCAGAGAGGUUAAGGGUCGUAAUAUAAUAUCUAAAAUAAUAAACAAACAAAACAAGGUUAAAUUCAGCUGGAUAUGGUAGUUUGCUUAAAACCCUAAAAAUAGUCAUUCCACACAACAACAAAAAGUGGUUACACCAGAUAUAUAUAUACAAAAUGUACAGAAUCAAUGUGAAGAUUUAAAAUAGAACACUAACCAGCACAAAUAUACUCAAGUACGUAUGUAUACUACAAUACAAAGAUGUACUGACAAAUGAGCACAAUCCUAUAUACUUGAGUACCAUAAGAGCUGUACUAACGAGCACGACCUUGUACUCAAGUACCACAAGAGCUGUACUAACGAGUACCACAAGAGCUGUACUAACGAGUACCACAAGAGCUUUAUCGUGCGACAACAAUCCUAUACUAUGAACGACAAUACAAUAAUUGUACAUAAAAUACACAAAAUAAUUCUUAUAAUAAAAGGAAACUUUUUGUGUAAUAAAACACCUCAUACAAAAUGUUAAUACAAAGUAGUGUUACAAAAAGUAUGCUAGGACAUCAAUAAUUCUAUGAAAUGUGAAUCCCUGUUUACUGCUGGUUUAUUUCAUCACCCAAAGCCCUUACUUCAUUUGGAUAACUUCACAAAGGGGAAUAAUCCUGUGGGAUGCAACAUCACAUCGUUUUCAUGUUAUGGAAGAGAUAAAAUAUCAAAAAAAAUAAUGAUUAUGAUUUUAUUUUUGAUAUUCAGUAAAACCUCAAUAUAAUACUCCUCAUUUCAUCUGACAUCUUGCUUAAUAUUAAAGAAUUCUUUACAAAUUUUAUCUAUUUAUAGCAAAACCCCAUUUUAAUGCCACUAUUUUCUGGGCCCUUAAUUUUCUUGUAUCCGGUUCAACUGGUUUGUCUGUUUUUAAAUGUAACAUUUUCGUAUAUAUAUCCUGGCAGACCUGCAAAGGUUUAUGCAGGCCUUGGUCCGACCUUAUAAACGAAUAAUUCUGGUACAACUGUUUGGAUAAACGAAUGCGGCCUUGGAAAAUAGUGGCAUUAUAAAGCGGUUUUACUGCAUUCUUCUAAAUUUGUUCUCAAAUAUGACCUACUUAAUUGUGAUAAUCGUUCCUGAUGAAUAUAAAAUAAUUAAGGAAUCAAUCACUACUUGUUACAUAUCGCCCCUUUACAUCAAACAUACAUAAGAAAUUUAAGAUAAUAGCGAAAUCUCAUUAAAACCUCCAGUGUACAAAAAAGCUAAAUGACAUUUGAUGAGGAGUAUUUAUCAGUCACUAAAAGACUUAUAUUAGAUAUUACUGCUGGUCUCAUAACUUCUCACAAGGAAUUUGAUAUCAUAUGUGCUGCCUAUCAUAUUAAAACCAGUACUUUUUCUAAUCCACAUUUAUAUGAUAUUUUUCUUUUUUCUGUAUUUUCCUCAAAAGGAAUGUUGACCUGGGCCCAGUUGUUCAAAAGGUGAUUAGCUUAAUCACUGUUUAACGAUAUUUUUCAACCUUUAAUAAUUGUGUCAAUAAACAAGAUACAAUCUCAUAAUUUUGCAUGUAAAUUCACUCUACUAAAUAGAUGAUAUCUGUAAAGUUGUACCUAAUUCAGUAGUUUUGUUUUGAAGUAACAUAAAAAUUAAAAUUUGCGCUAAUCACCGUUUGAACAACUGGGCCCAGGUGGGUUUUCUCUGCAGCUAUGGGGACUCGGGUUUCCCUCUACAUUUAGACCCGCGUCACUCCUAUGGGAUUCCACUGGUGCCACAAAGUGAUAGAUAUAGUGAGUUAACUUGGACCUAAAUUCGGUGAUUUGACAAAAUUUUGGAUGUCGGAAAAUGUUAGAAUUUAGAAUAUGAAUAACCAGAUUAAUUUCAUAUUUGCGGACAUAUAUAUCGUGGUUUUACAACAAAAUAUUUGUUUCACAAGUGAUGCUCCAAGUCACCAGUAAACUCAAACUGUGACAGUAAAACCACCAAUACGUCUGUCAAAAAUCUGAAAUACAAGAUUAUUCCCUAAUUUAAGAUAAACAUACUUAACUAAGUGUUUUACUAGUAAUUGUGGGUCUUUUAUACAUUAGGGCAUUAGGGUGUCACCGACUUCCUCAAAGUUCUUAUAACUAGUUACAUAUUACUGGGUAAGUUAGCUGUUAUAAUUAUAUGUUGUAUAAUUCAUAUAGUUGACACCACUUUUUGGGAGUAUACAAGAUAUGGCAGUUUUACUAAAAUGACAAAUACAUGUAGCAAGCGUCCUCCGAAAUCAUGAAAAAUAAUGAUAUAUAUUUAUGUCCUUAUUUCUCAAUCAAACAGCUGUGGUCUAAGCACUCCCCGUUUACUUCAAUGAUAAUAUGAAGUAAAUGACAAUUUUACUGCCAUCUGCUAUAUAUAUAUCCCCGAUUCACAUUUCCCCACCACCAUUGCACUAACACUUGCCUUACAGACCUGUGCACACUGAAUCUCACUGCUUCUUAUACAAUGUCUGCUCGUCAUUGCACUUCACUCCGACAUAACAACAGGAAAUCUAAUCUUCAUUCCUGAUCUAUUAAUGUCAAAAGAGACUUAGCAAAUCCUAGAUUUCAAAUUAUGAACAGAGGGCAUCCCAAUAACAGUAAUAUAUACAGUAGGUAGAUUUGCUAACAUGUUUACAGAAGAGGAGAAAGUGAUAAUGAUGAGUUGGGCAUUUCAUUGGUAAUUCAAAUGAGGUUAUGACUAACAUUUUGCUAUGAGAUAUGUUGUUAUGACAACGUAUGUUAUGACAACAUAUGCUGCUAAUGACAUCAUAUGUUGCUGUUACAUCACAUGCCUGCUAUGAUUAUAUAUUACUAUGAUGUCAUUUGUUGCUAUGACAUCAUGUAUUGCUAUGACAUCAUAUGUUGCCAUGACAUCAUGUGUUGCUAUGACAUCAUAUGUUGCCAUGACAUCAUGUGUUGCUAUGUUUAACAUGUCACUGUGACAUCAUAUAUCUAUAUGGCACAUCUAGCUAUACAAAACAAUACAGACAUCUACGGCUGACAACAUCUGAUUGAUGAGAAUACAAUACAGACAUCUACUGCUGACAACAUCUGAUUGAUGAGAAUACAAUACAGACAUCUACUGCUGACAACAUCUGAUUGAUGAGAAUACAAUACAGACAUCUACGGCUGACAACAUCUGAUUGAUGAGAAGAGUAUAAACAAAGAAACAUGAACAGUUAUAAACAUUAAUAAUAGUAUAAGAAAGAAACACCUUUCCCAAAAAUUGUUUAAGACAUAAUAAAAACAAUAAAAAAAUGUAAGACCACUGAUUUUUAGUUUAGAAAAAAGGCAGAAAUAAAUUAAGAUAUCACUCAUUAUUUGAAUUGAUUUUAAUGACUUUUUAUUCCUACACAAACAUCUUAAGUACAUGUAAUUACUUGACUUACCUGAACCUUCCUGUAUAUGGCACCAGCAAUCUACUUAACCCAAAACUUAUUACAACGAUGCCUUCAUUUUAACAAAUUUCUGAGUCCAACAGCCUAUUACAGACAUGCAUGUGUACAAGCUUAACAUAUUUUAUUUGAAUAGCUAUCAACAUUAAGGUUUACAUUAGGUCAUCAAGUCAGAACUACAAGCAUCACUAAUGCUUUCUUGUGUAGCUUAAAUGGGUCAUGCAUUGGUUUAUCUCCUUCAUUUUCACCAGCUAUGUAGCUAGAGUGGAGCUCUUAAGUACAGAAGUUACAUUUCUGUCUAGUAUAGGUAUCGUCAGUCAGUAUUAGAACACUUUAAAAUUGACCUAUAGCUAAUUAACAUAAAAUAUGACCAGGAUUAAUACUUUAAUUUUAUUUGUCAUAAACAAAAUUAUCAUGAAUAAACCGGAGAUAUAUUUUGGGAACAAAAACCUAGGUCUCUCCCUAAUAGCCGAUAUGUAUAACUUGCUGGACAUUUAAUUCACCUUUGACCUAGAGGUAAAGCUUGGUCACGGCAAAGUAAUUACAGUUAUGUAGGUAUAGUUUAAGUUUAAUCAAGGUAUGCAAAGUCAAGAUCACAUUAGAAGAGAAAUCAGUCCUAAAAAUAAACAAUGUAUCCCUUAAUUGGAAUAUGAUAAUAUCAAAUGCCAUAAUUUUAUUUAAAUGAGAUGAAACAGGAAUGAAUUCUUAACAUAACAAAAAAUAGUAUAUCCUGAUAAAAAAAAAAACUUUUCAUAACUUUUUUUUUAUUUUUUUAUUAUUAAAGUUGAAAACAAAAUCAACACCGCAUUCUACAUAUUAAAACAUGAAGGAAACUAACAAUUUAAAUGAAGAGUCAAAGAAAAUGUGCCAUAAAGUCAAUACAAAUAUGGAAGGAAAAACAGGUACAUGCAUAAAAUUAAACUAAAGUGAUGGAAGGAAAAACAGGUACAUGCAUAAAAUUAAACUAAAGUGAUGGAAGG
rnacentral:lncRNA from 1 species